CCGGGUGCGAUUCCCGGGCUGACCCGCAACCGUGACUGGGAGACCAGGAGCCGGA
rnacentral:ncRNA from 2 species